AUCGAUGAAGAACGCAGCGAAAUGCGAUAACUAAUGUGAAUUGCGGAAUUCAGUGAAUCAUCGAGUCUUUGAACGCACAUUGCGCCCCCUGGUAUUCCGGGGGGCAUGCCUGUCCGAGCGUCAUUGCUGCCCUCAAGCACGGCUUGUGUGUUGGGCUCCGUCCCCCCGGGGACGGGUCCGAAAGGCAGCGGCGGCACCGAGUCCGGUCCUCGAGCGUAUGGGGCUUUGUCACCCGCUCUGUAGGCCCGGCCGGCGCCAGCCGACAACCAAUCAUCCUUUUUUCAGGUUGACCUCGGAUCAGGUAGGGAUACCCGCUGAACUUAAGCAUAUCAAUAAGCGGAGGAAAAGAAACCAACAGGGAUUGCCUCAGUAACGGCGGGUGAAGCGGCAACAGCUCAAAUUUGAAAUCUGGCUUCGGCCCGAGUUGUAAUUUGCAGAGGAUGUUUAUGGUGCGGUACCUUCCGAGUUCCCUGGAACGGGACGCCACAGAGGGUGAGAGCCCCGUCUGGUUGGAUACCAAACCUGUGUUAAACUCCUUCAACGAGUCGAGUAGUUUGGGAAUGCUGCUCUAAAUGGGAGGUAAAUCUCUUCUAAAGCUAAAUACCGGCCAGAGACCGAUAGCGCACAAGUAGAGUGAUCGAAAGAUGAAAAGCACCUUGAAAAGGGGGUUAAACAGUACGUGAAAUUGUUGAAAGGGAAGCGAUUAUGACCAGACUUGUGCCGUGUGGCUCAUCCGAGGUUCUCCCCGGUGCACUCCACACGGUUCAGGCCAACAUCGGUUUUCGUCGGGGGAUAAGAAUAGUAGGAACGUGGCUUUCUUCGGAGAGUGUUAUAGCCUAUUAUACGAUACCCUGACGGGGACCGAGGACCGCGCUUCGGCAAGGAUGUUGGCGUAAUGGUCAUUACCGACCCGUCUUGAAACACGG
rnacentral:rRNA from 1 species